rnacentral:rRNA from 1 species
AUUGAACGCUGGCGGCAGGCCUAACACAUGCAAGUCGAACGAGUGGCGGACGGGUGAGUAAUGUCUGGGAAACUGCCUGAUGGAGGGGGAUAACUACUGGAACCGGUAGCUAAUACCGCAUACCAUCGGAUGUGCCCAGAUGGGAUUAGCUUGUUGGUGGGGUAACGGCUCACCCAGGCGACGAUCCCUAGCUGGUCUGAGAGGAUGACCAGACACACUGGAACUGAGACACGGUCCAGACGCGUACGGGAGGCAGCAGUGGGGAAUAUUGCACAAGGGGCGCAAGCCUGAUGCAGCCAUGCCGCGUGUAUGAAGAAGGCCUUCGGGUUGUAAAGUACUGUCAGCGGGGAGGCGUUACCCGCAGAAGAAGCACCGGCUAACUCCGUGCCAGCAGCCGCGGUAAUUC